rnacentral:lncRNA from 1 species
UGUGGAGAGGAGGAGACAAGAUCUUGCUGUGUGUUCUAGGCCAGCCUCAAACUUGUGAUCCCCUUCUUCAGCCUUCCAAACAGCUGAGAUCACAGGCAUGCACCACAGCACCAAACUAAGAGUUCUGCCCCUUGGAAGUUAGAGGGAGGGAGUAUAUAUGCAUGUGCAUAUGCAUGUGUAUGUUCAAGAGCGCCUUGGGGGCAGAGGGUUGGGGAAGAGGCAUGUGUUACCAUGGUUGGCAUAUAUGUGGUACUUUGAACAGGGGUGUGUACUGCUACAUUGAGCAUCUAUCUCCCUACGUCAUAGAGCUUUCAAAAGGUAUAUGAUGUUCUCUGCAGGCUCUGUACAAGGCCUGGUCCAGGGAAGACUCAAAUGCCUGGGAAGGAAGGGAGUGCAGAGGGAGAGGCCUGGCAGGUGACUCAGUGCAAACCCUUGUCAGUGUUUGCCCAGCUGGGGUCUGUGUGUAGAUCAUGGGUCCUGUGACUUUGAAACAGAUACCCCUGGAGCCUCUUUGAGGAAUAAGGAAAUAACAUGAUGUCACAUGUUGGCUCUGGGCUAAGCCCUGUCACACACAUAGAGGUGUUCUCAUUGUCCUGGAAUUACACAGGAACAAACUGAAACUUGGAAGUUGACAGCAUGGUGUGCCAUGAUGAAGCAGGGAGUUCUGUGUGCCUUUAGGAAGGAAAAUAAAGGUAGGACAGUUGUGUGUCCAUGUGUCCCACAUCCUGACUGUCCUGCUGUCUUCCUGGACAUUCAGGACACUAGUAAGCUUUUUUACAGUCUGUUUUCCUAUAACCUGAUGUCAAUCUAUUUCAAAUGAGAGGAAAUAUUUUCUGUCAUGAUGAUAAAGGACAGGUAACAAGGACAUCAUUUUCGGUACCUUUGUCUUGAUACGUUAGCCCUGGGUUUUGUUUCUUUGCUUAUUUUUUUUUUUUUUUUUUUUUUUUUUUUUUUUUUUUUUUUAAAGAUUUAUUUAUUAUAUGUAAGUACACUGUAGCUGUCUUCAGAC